GACCAACUCUGGUAUUCUCCCAGGAUGUGACUUGCCCCCUUCUCAGGGGAAAUUAUACCUCACUGCCACCUCAUAGGUUACCAUUUGGGAGUACCAGCUGCCACACUUUCUGAAACCAAGGCAUGGACCCGAAUCCUGCUAAUUUCGGAAACAAAUACUAGGGUUUUAGAAGAGUAUGCUCCAGGACUCAGGCUUCUGCCAUUAAGUGAGAAAACCAAUUCUGACAAUCACCCAUGGAUAAGAGUGUGCUUGUGGAAAUCUGGGAGUCUAGUAGAGAAGUUCCAGCACAACACUGGAGCUAAGA